UCGAUGGAGAGUUUGAUCCUGGCUCAGGACGAACGCUGGCGGCGUGCUUAACACAUGCAAGUCGAGCGGAAAGGCCAUUUCGGUGGUACUCGAGCGGCGAACGGGUGAGUAACACGUGAGUAAUCUGCCCCUCACUUUGGGAUAGCCACCGGAAACGGUGAUUAAUACCGGAUAUGACAUGGUCUCGCAUGGGGUUGUGUGGAAAGUUUUUCGGUGAGGGAUGUGCUCGCGGCCUAUCAGCUUGAUGGUGAGGUAAUGGCUCACCAUGGCUUCGACGGGUAGCCGGCCUGAGAGGGUGACCGGUCACACUGGGACUGAGACACGGCCCAGACUCCUACGGGAGGCAGCAGUGGGGAAUAUUGGACAAUGGGCGGAAGCCUGAUCCAGCAACGCCGCGUGAGGGAUGACGGCCUUCGGGUUGUAAACCUCUUUCAGUACCGACGAAGCGUGAGUGACGGUAGGUACAGAAGAAGCACCGGCCAACUACGUGCCAGCAGCCGCGGUAAUACGUAGGGUGCGAGCGUUGUCCGGAAUUAUUGGGCGUAAAGGGCUCGUAGGCGGUUUGUCGCGUCGGGAGUGAAAAC
rnacentral:rRNA from 1 species